UGAGGCUAAACCGGGCGUGUUUGAUAGCUGUCAGGCGUUGCAUGUUCGGGGUCGUGGGACCUCUUGGUCGGUGCUGACAAGCCGACAUGGAGUCAAAAAUUCGCGUUAUAGUCGAAGGGCAUUGAAAGGCCCGGCACAGAGGGUGCAACCCCCGUAGACGAAAUGGCGCGAACUCCAGAGAGUCAUCCCAAGUAGCACGGGGCCCG
rnacentral:rRNA from 1 species